CCGGGCGUAGUUUAAUAGACAAAACAAUUGAGUUGUGACUCAAAAAAUGCCGGUUCAAUCCCGGCCGUCCAGACUA
rnacentral:tRNA from 1 species